UACGUAGGGUGCAAGCGUUAAUCGGAAUUACUGGGCGUAAAGCGUGCGCAGGCGGUUGUGCAAGACAGAUGUGAAAUCCCCGGGCUUAACCUGGGAACUGCAUUUGAUACUGGGUGUCUUGAGUGUGGAAGAGGUGAGUGGAAUUGCGAGUGUAGAGGUGAAAUUCGUAGAUAUUCGCAGGAACACCAGUGGCGAAGGCGGCUCACUGGUCCACAACUGACGCUGAGGUGCGAAAGCGUGGGGAGCAAACAGGG
rnacentral:rRNA from 1 species